UUUUUACUACGCAAUAAAUUAUUGUUUGAUUGACAUUAUUAAAUGAUAUUGGAAAAAUGGUGGAUGCAUGCACAUUAUGAUUUAUAGCCGAUGAUUUUCCUAUGUAUCAGAUUUUGAAGAUUUUAAUUUCAAUCUUCUAUGGAUUAUUGGACUACAUUUUCAAGGCGGGAAAAAUUUCAAUAUGGAUGCCAUUACAUUUGUAUGUCUUUAUGUGAGAAUUUUUGUGGCCGCGUGCAAUGCGGUUAGUAGAGUCAGUGUUUAUUACAAGUUUUUUUAAUGUUUUUUUAAAGAAUAAUAGCAUUAAUUAAAUUCAAUUUCAAUAAUCACACGUGAAAUUAGAGUCAGUGUUGUUUGUUGAUUUCAAUUUAAACGGGUGUUAAUCUUCUCUUUUUUUUUUAAUAAUCGUUUUCAAUUAUAAGUUAGAAUCAGUGCAUCAACAUAAUAAAAUGAUCAUCCAUCACGCGAAGAGAUUCUUCUCAGCUUUUACGAUGAUUUCUUGCUGUACGUAACUGUUUUGAACAAUGUUCUUCGCAUCUAAUGGUGAGUCGCAUGCAUUUUUGUUCCUCCAGUCACUCAAUCAUGUCGUAGGAUGAAAGAUCUGAAUCGACACGGGUGACUGGUUGUAUACGUAGAAUUUUGUACGAGCACAGUGACCAUGGGUAUUUAUUAUACCCGUGAGUAAUAACAAUUCUAUUUUUCGUGUUUUAUUUAUUAGAUCAGGAUAGGUUUUCUUGCACAUCGUGUUUUUAAAAAAUUAAUAAUUAAUUUUAUAUGUUUGCUAUAUAUAUACUUUAAUUUGUAAAAUUAAAUAAUUCAACAUAUGAAUAUUUGAAAAAUCAAUUAAUUAUAUAAAUAUACAUUUAUGAACAAAAUAUAUGAAUAUUUGAAUAAAUAAAAAAUAUUGAAAUUGAUUUUAAUUAAUUAAAUAUUGUAAUGAAGAAAUCAGAUCUCCUCUGAUUUCAUUAAAAAAAAU